UACGUAGGGUGCAAGCGUUAAUCGGAAUUACUGGGCGUAAAGCGUGCGCAGGCGGUUCGCUAAGACAGAUGUGAAAUCCCCGGGCUUAACCUGGGAACUGCAUUUGUGACUGGCGGGCUAGAGUAUGGCAGAGGGGGGGUAGAAUUCCACGUGUAGCAGUGAAAUGCGUAGAGAUGUGGAGGAAUACCGAUGGCGAAGGCAGCCCCCCUGGGCCAAUACUGACGCUCAUGCACGAAAGCGUGGGGAGCAAA
rnacentral:rRNA from 1 species